ACACAUGAUGAUACAAGUUAAUAGGAAUUGCCGUCUGAUCGAUAUCUGAAGCUAAUCUUGACUGAUG